AUACUUACCUGGACGGGAUUAAUGGAUGACCAAGAAGGCCCAUAGUCUAGGACAGUGACUUCUAUUGCACUUGAGAAGGGUGCUGUUCUAAGGUCUGUCCAAGUGGCAGAAUCUACGUCAUAAUUUGUGGUAGAGGGGGCCUGCGUCCGCGCGGCCCCUAC
rfam:Vigna angularis cultivar Jingnong 6 chromosome 2, whole genome shotgun sequence.